GAUGAACGCUAGCGGCAGGCCUAAUACAUGCAAGUCGAACGGGAUCCAGAUCAAAGCUUGCUUUGGUUUGGUGAGAGUGGCGCACGGGUGCGUAACGCGUGAGCAACCUACCCUUGUCAGGGGGAUAGCCCGGCGAAAGUCGGAUUAAUACCGCAUGACAUCAUUGAGAGGCAUCUUUCGAUGAUCAAAGAUUAUCGGACAAGGAUGGGCUCGCGNGACAUUAGCUAGUUGGUAAGGUAACGGCUUACCAAGGCUACGAUGUCUAGGGGCUCUGAGAGGAGAAUCCCCACC
rnacentral:rRNA from 1 species